rnacentral:rRNA from 1 species
ACACUCCUACGGGAGGCAGCAGUGGGGAAUAUUGGACAAUGGGGGCAACCCUGAUCCAGCCAUGCCGCGUGAGUGAUGAAGGCCCUAGGGUUGUAAAGCUCUUUUGUGCGGGAAGAUAAUGACGGUACCGCAAGAAUAAGCCCCGGCUAACUUCGUGCCAGCAGCCGCGGUAAUACGAAGGGGGCUAGCGUUGCUCGGAAUCACUGGGCGUAAAGGGUGCGUAGGCGGGUCUUUAAGUCAGGGGUGAAAUCCUGGAGCUCAACUCCAGAACUGCCUUUGAUACUGGGGAUCUUGAGUCCGGAAGAGGUGAGUGGAACUGCGAGUGUAGAGGUGAAAUUCGUAGAUAUUCGCAAGAACACCAGUGGCGAAGGCGGCUCACUGGUCCGGUACUGACGCUGAGGCACGAAAGCGUGGGGAGCAAACAGGAUUAGAUACCCUUGUAGUCCC